ACAUGACCGCACUAUGGACCACACUGACCGACCUGGCCACCCACACUCACUCAACGCACGCUACCGAAGGAAGAUUGCCGUCGAGGUUGCACGCAGAAGUCAUCGUCGUCACACAAACACUCCUCCUGAUCUGGCGACUCCGACUUCCCCCACCAGCUUUCAAGAAAGGGGACACCGCCUCCAAAGGCACGCAAGUUCGUAUCGGCCCAUGCCAAACAAUCGGUCAUCCUCGCAAGCGAACAAAAGACGCCGAUUCUGAUGGCGAGCUUUAGAGGGGCAAUAUGCAAGGCCUGCGCCGAAGAACCCCAGAAAUCAGACAAGCUCCCACCAAGUCAUCGUCAUCACGCAUCACUCCCUGAGCUGGCGACUCCGACUCCCCAACAACGAAGCAACC
rnacentral:lncRNA from 1 species